rnacentral:rRNA from 1 species
AGAGCGAACGCUGGCGGCAGGCUUAACACAUGCAAGUCGAGCGGGCGUAGCAAUACGUCAGCGGCAGACGGGUGAGUAACGCGUGGGAACGUACCUUUUGGUUCGGAACAACACAGGGAAACUUGUGCUAAUACCGGAUAAGCCCUUACGGGGAAAGAUUUAUCGCCAAAAGAUCGGCCCGCGUCUGAUUAGCUAGUUGGUGAGGUAACGGCUCACCAAGGCGACGAUCAGUAGCUGGUCUGAGAGGAUGAUCAGCCACAUUGGGACUGAGACACGGCCCAAACUCCUACGGGAGGCAGCAGUGGGGAAUAUUGGACAAUGGGCGCAAGCCUGAUCCAGCCAUGCCGCGUGAGUGAUGAAGGCCCUAGGGUUGUAAAGCUCUUUUGUGCGGGAAGAUAAUGACGGUACCGCAAGAAUAAGCCCGGCUAACGUUCGCGCCAGCAGCCGC